rnacentral:misc_RNA from 1 species
AAAAUGCGAUAAGUAAUGUGAAUUGCAGAAUUCAGUGAAUCAUCGAAUCUUUAAACGCACAUUGCGCCCGCCAGUAUUCUGGCGGGCAUGCCUGUUCGAGCGUCAUUUCAACCCUCAAGCCCCCGGGUUUGGUGUUGGGGAUCGGGCUGCGGUUCUACCGCGUCCCGGCCCCGAAAUCUAGUGGCGGUCUCGCUGCAGCCUCCAUUGCGUAGUAGCUAACACCUCGCAACUGGAACGCGGCGCGGCCAAGCCGUUAAACCCCCAACUUCUGAAUGUUGACCUCGGAUCAGGUAGGAAUACCCGCUGAACUUAAGC